rnacentral:rRNA from 1 species
GAUGAACGCUGGCGGCGUGCCUAAUACAUGCAAGUCGAGCGAACAGACGAGGAGCUUGCUCCUCUGACGUUAGCGGCGGACGGGUGAGUAACACGUGGAUAACCUACCUAUAAGACUGGGAUAACUUCGGGAAACCGGAGCUAAUACCGGAUAAUAUAUUGAACCGCAUGGUUCAAUAGUGAAAGACGGUUUUGCUGUCACUUAUAGAUGGAUCCGCGCCGCAUUAGCUAGUUGGUAAGGUAACGGCUUACCAAGGCAACGAUGCGUAGCCGACCUGAGAGGGUGAUCGGCCACACUGGAACUGAGACACGGUCCAGACUCCUACGGGAGGCAGCAGUAGGGAAUCUUCCGCAAUGGGCGGAAGCCUGACGGAGCAACGCCGCGUGAGUGGUGAAGGUCUUCGGAUCGUAAAACUCUGUUAUUAGGGAAGAACAAAUGUGUAAGUAACUAUGCACGUCUUGACGGUACCUAAUCAGAAAGCCACGGCUAACUACGUG